AACAAACGCUGGCGGCGUGCCUAACACAUGCAAGUCGUACGAGAAAGUUGGCUUCGGCCAAUGAGUAAAGUGGCGCACGGGUGAGUAACGCGUGGAUAAUCUGCCCUUCAGCGGGGAAUAACCCAUCGAAAGGUGGGCUAAUACCCCAUAACACUGUUUUACAACUGUCAAACAGUCAAAGAGAGCCUCUGCUUGCAAGCUUUUACUGAAGGUUGAGUCCGCGUACCAUUAGCUAGUUGGUAGGGUAAUGGCCUACCAAGGCGACGAUGGUUAGCUGGUCUGAGAGGAUGAUCAGCCACACUGGAACGGGGGCACGGGCCAGACUCCUACGGGAGGCAGCAGUGAGGAAUCUUGCGCAAUGGGGGAAACCCUGACGCAGCAACGCCGCGUGAGUGAGGAAGGUCUUCGGGUCGUAAAGCUCUGUCAGGCGGGAAGAAAUGCAUGGAGGUGAACAGCCGCCAUGCUUGACGGUACCGCCAGAGGAAGCACCGGCUAACUCCGUGCCAGCAGCCGCCGUAAUAC
rnacentral:rRNA from 1 species